rnacentral:piRNA from 1 species
UAUCAAGACAUCAUUAGCCGAGGAGAU